rnacentral:rRNA from 1 species
CCCUUAGAUGUUCUGGGCCGCACGCGCGCUACACUGACGAAUGCAACGAGCUUAUAACCUUGGCCGAAAGGUCUGGGUAAUCUCCAAAUUUCGUCGUGAUGGGGAUAGAUUAUUGCAAUUAUUAAUCUUCAACGAGGAAUGCCUAGUAAGCGCAAGUCAUCAGCUUGCGUUGAUUACGUCCCUGCCCUUUGUACACACCGCCCGUCGCUCCUACCGAUUGAAUGGUCCGGUGAAGCGUUCGGACCGUGGCCUUUGGACGGUUCGCCGUCUGUUGGCUGCGGGAAGUUCGUUAAACCUUAUCAUUUNNAGGAAGGAGAAGUCGUAACA